CAUAGGGUAGUAGAAAGAAUUAUACCGGAUUUAGGAUCCGGUGGUGGAGGUAGCCUCCCCUUAUGUCC
rnacentral:tRNA from 1 species